UGACACACUCUGGCACUGGGUUGACUGGAGUGUAGUGGGGCCUGCCUGGCACCUGCAGAGCAAUGUGAGCAAACAGUGAAAAGAUUCAGAGUUCCACUGAGCAGAGAAGCAUUAAAAAAAAGACCAGGUUGGAACUCUUCAUUCUGGCAGUUGCACUGUGGACAUUUUUGUGGUUUUCUCAGACAAAUUUUUUGUGAGUUGUAUCUAUGAACUAGACAAGUAGUGCUGGGAUGGACUAUGUCCAGCCUAGGCCCUGAUACCACUACAUAUUCUGUCCUGUGUGUUUAAAAAGAAGAGGCAAUGGAUUUUUUUUUUUUUUUUAAUUUUUUUUUUUUAGGAAAAUUCACUUCUAAUGUACCGGUGUUUAAAUUUGGCUUAUUAAAUAAAUUCACAGUAUAACUUAUAUACUGAACACUUAACUGGUAGGCUCAGCACAGUAGCUGAGCUCAUUUGACAGCCUGUUCCUACUUAAACGGAAGGAUUUUCCCUCUCUGUUGUCUUCUCCAUCUUUUCUGUCCUUGGAUCCUAGAUAAGUUUGAAAUGAUCCAUUUUGGACCCUUCCAUGAAGACAGUAUAGCAGAACUUGCCCUCGGUGAUGGAGUCCUACCAUUUGGACUUGGGCACUUGGUCAAGUUAAUGCAUGUUUGAAGAGGAAAACAACCAACCAGCCAAAAUUCCUGUGCAUCAGAUGAGCUCUGCAACUGCAUGUGCGUGCUCUUAGCCUAGAGAGCCUUUUCUUGUCCUGCAAGUGAAAAAGGGUCACCUUGCAUUUGCCAUGAAUACACCCAUGAUUGUUGGCUCUUAAUUGCUUACUUGUAAAGCUGCAGUAAUAUUAUCAUCUGUCUGAUCUCUGUGUUUGCUUAACGUUGUUUGAAACUGAGAACAGUUUGUGGAAGAUUAUGUAGGUAUGAUGUUAGUAUUGCACCUUGUCAAUUGCAAAAAAAAAUCUGUUAAAAUCAAGUCUUUUCUUCACUGAGGCUCUUGGCAAACACACACUAGUGUUACAAAGCUAAUUUUUAUAUUUGUUAUUAAUUGUCUGUUUUCUUUUUUC